rnacentral:rRNA from 1 species
AGUGAACGCUGGCGGUAGGCCUAACACAUGCAAGUCGAACGGCAGCACAGUAAGAGCUUGCUCUUACGGGUGGCGAGUGGCGGACGGGUGAGGAAUACAUCGGAAUCUACUUUUUCGUGGGGGAUAACGUAGGGAAACUUACGCUAAUACCGCAUACGACCUACGGGUGAAAGCAGGGGAUCUUCGGACCUUGCGCGAUUGAAUGAGCCGAUGUCGGAUUAGCUAGUUGGCGGGGUAAAGGCCCACCAAGGCGACGAUCCGUAGCUGGUGUGAGAGGAUGAUCAGCCACACUGGAACUGAGACACGGUCCAGACUCCUACGGGAGGCAGCAGUGGGGAAUAUUGGACAAUAGGCGCAAGCCUGAUCCAGCCAUACCGCGUGGGUUGAGAAGGCCUUCGGGUUGUGAAGCCCUUUUGUUGGGAAAGAAAAGCAGCAGGUUAAUACCCCGCUGUUCUGACGGUACCCAAAGAAUAAGCACCGGCUAACUUCGUG